ACGGGCUCCAUGUUGGGACUGUUGGAAGGUCAACGACCAUCAGGGUCACCAACAGCAACGGCUGUUAGAGAUUUAAUACAUCAUUAACAAACAGGAUUAUUUCAUCUCCAACUGAGUUAAUUUCCUGUGGCUGACUGAGCAGACAUGACGGUAAAGGAGGCGCAUCGAUAAAGACGGACCAGGUGAGCAGAUUCCUGCUCACAGGUCUGGGAGGAAGAGGAGUCAGGAGGAGGAAGGAGCUGGAAAAAAAUCCAAAUGUCUGGAUUUUCACACCGUUAAUUUAGCCGUGCAGAGCUUCGUCGCACCAUUCUCUCACUCUUCUCCGCUCCUGUCGGAAACAUGCUAAUUAGGGAAGCCGGCUGACGUGAGCGAGGUUUAAAGGUGAGCAGAAAGCGACUUUUAUCCAACCGGGCCGACGCCCUCCAUGCGCCGAGACGACGGAGCAGGAGAAGCAGGCGAAGCUUCGUGACCUCAGCUGACCUCUGAGCAGCAUAUGGCUGCACACCUGGACGGCCCGGAGGGACGGGAGACGGCUUGGACGGAGCAGAGAAGGGUGGUGCUGCCCGGACGCCCGGGGCGGUCCAUAUGCUCCGUUACUGGAUCAGAGACGGGCCAAACUGGGUCAGAGCAGAGAGGGCUCUAAUCUGGGUAAUUCAUCCUCUGAAUGCUGGAUUAUAAAUCAUUAGAAGCCCAAAACCCGGUUCUAAAUAAAUCCCGUUUAUGCAGAUCAGGAUUAGGGAGAAAAACAAUAAUUCUGACUUCUGAUCGCCGAAGAUUAAAGUCAAUAUUCUGAGAUUAAAGAGAUAAUUUUGUGAUUAAAGUAGAAAUGCUCGUUUUGAUUCU